rnacentral:rRNA from 1 species
AAUCAACGCUGGCGGCGUGCCUAACACAUGCAAGUCGAACGCGAAAGGGGGCUUCGGCUCCUGAGUAGAGUGGCGUCCGGGUGAGUAACACGUAGGUAAUCUGCCUUCGGGUGGGGAAUAACCAGUCGAAAGAUUGGCUAAUACCGCAUAAUGCAGCGGCACCUAAUGGUGAUUAGUUGUUAAAGCGGGGGAUCGCAAGACCUCGCGCCUGAAGAGGAGCCUGCGGCAGAUUAGCUAGUUGGUGAGGUAAUGGCUCACCAAGGCUUCGAUCUGUAGCUGGUCUGAGAGGACGGCCAGCCACACUGGCACUGACACACGGGCCAGACUCCUACGGGAGGCAGCAGUGGGGAAUUUUGGGCAAUGGGCGAAAGCCUGACCCAGCAACGCCGCGUGAGGGAGGAAAUCCUUC